rnacentral:snoRNA from 1 species
GGUCAGUGAUGUGUGGGCAUGUAUUAGCUGAGCUUUCGAUGAUGUGUAAUAACAGUAAAGCUCUAGAAUUACGCUGAGACCUU